rnacentral:rRNA from 1 species
UGGGGAAUUUUGGACAAUGGGCGCAAGCCUGAUCCAGCAAUGCCGCGUGUGUGAAGAAGGCCUUCGGGUUGUAAAGCACUUUUGUCCGGAAAGAAAACCUCGUGGUUAAAACCCGUGGGGGAUGACGGUACCGGAAGAAUAAGCACCGGCUAACUACGUGCCAGCAGCCGCGGUAAUACGUAGGGUGCAAGCGUUAAUCGGAAUUACUGGGCGUAAAGCGUGCGCAGGCGGUUCGCUAAGACAGAUGUGAAAUCCCCGGGCUUAACCUGGGAACUGCAUUUGUGACUGGCGGGCUAGAGUAUGGCAGAGGGGGGUAGAAUUCCACGUGUAGCAGUGAAAUGCGUAGAGAUGUGGAGGAAUACCGAUGGCGAAGGCAGCCCCCUGGGCCAAUACUGACGCUCAUGCACGAAAGCGUGGGGAGCAAACAGG